rnacentral:rRNA from 1 species
AUUGAACGCUGGCGGCAGGCUUAACACAUGCAAGUCGAGCGGGGUGAUGGUGCUUGCACUAUCACUUAGCGGCGGACGGGUGAGUAAUGCUUAGGAAUCUGCCUAUUAGUGGGGGACAACAUCUCGAAAGGGAUGCUAAUACCGCAUACGUCCUACGGGAGAAAGCAGGGGAUCACUUGUGACCUUGCGCUAAUAGAUGAGCCUAAGUCGGAUUAGCUAGUUGGUGGGGUAAAGGCCUACCAAGGCGACGAUCUGUAGCGGGUCUGAGAGGAUGAUCCGCCACACUGGGACUGAGACACGGCCCAGACUCCUACGGGAGGCAGCAGUGGGGAAUAUUGGACAAUGGGGGGAACCCUGAUCCAGCCAUACCGCGUGUGUGAAGAAGGCCUUAUGGUUGUAAAGCACUUUAAGCGAGGAGGAGGCUCUUUUGGUUAAUACCCAAGGUGAGUGGACGUUACUCGCAGAGUAAGCACCGGCUAACUCUGUGCCAGCCGCCGCCGUAA